GGGCCCGUAGCGCAGUCAGGAUAGCGCGGCAGCCUCCUAAGCUGUCGGCCGUGGGUUCGAAUCCCACCGGGCCCGCCA
rnacentral:tRNA from 1 species